CCUACGGGAGGCAGCAGUGGGGGAUAUUGGGCAAUGGAGGAAACUCUGACCCAGCAAUGCCGCGUGAAUGAAGAAGGUCUUCGGAUUGUAAACCUCUUUAGGCGGGGAGCAAUGCCGGGCACGCGUGCCCGGAGGGAGAGUACCCGCAGAAUAAGCAUCGGCUAACUCCGUGCCAGCAGCCGCGGUAAUACGGAGGAUGCGAGCGUUAUCCGGAUUUAUUGGGGUUAAAGGGUGCGUAGGCGGAUGUUUAAGUCAGCGGGAAGAUGUCCGGGCUAAACCCGGGCCUGCCGUUGAAACUGGGGAUCUGGAGUGGGCGAGAAGUAUGCGGAAUGCGUGGUGUAGCGGUGAAAUGCAUAGAUAUCACGAAGAACUCCGAUUGCGAAGGCAGCAUACCGGCGCCCGACUGACGCUGAGGCACGAAAGCGUGGGGAUCGAACAGGAUUAGAUACCCGGGUAGUC
rnacentral:rRNA from 1 species